AUGAAGAAGGCCGUGCUUUUGUGUUUUGUCCUGUUUGCGGUUAUUUCUGUGACCACCGCUGCUCAAUGCAUAAAACAGAUGCAUGGUUCCUUUGUAUGUCGCGAUAUGAUUGAUAAUAAAGUGUACGGUACUGGAAAGACCUGGGUGAACGGCAAAUGUCAGUUUUGCAAAUGCGAGAUUGGAGCUACGUCCUGCUGUAUGGGAACAAGAGAUGCAGCUGGAAAGUGCAAACGUGAAUAGCAGCAUCGCUGGAAAAGAAAUCCAGAGAUUUACAAUGACGGAUUUGAGUUUCCAUGUUGUUCAAUUGUGAUUAAUCAAAUGAUGAGACUCCUUUUAUACAAUGUCAUGAAACAAAUAUGAUUGAUA